GUCGAACGGAAGUCGUUAUGAUGAUUUCAACACUGACAGAGAACUUGUUCAAAGAAAGUAGAGAUUGACUUAUAACAAUGGCUUUAGUGGCGGACUGGUGAGUAACACGUGAGCAACCUGCCUAUCAGAGGGGAAUAACAGUGAGAAAUCAUUGCUAAUACCGCAUAUGCCAUAAAUAUCACAUGAUGAAAGUGGGAAAGGAGUAAUCCGCUGAUAGAUGGGCUCGCGUCUGAUUAGAUAGUUGGUGGGGUAACGGCCUACCAAGUCGACGAUCAGUAGCCGGACUGAGAGGUUGAACGGCCACAUUGGGACUGAGAUACGGCCCAGACUCCUACGGGAGGCAGCAGUCGGGAAUAUUGCGCAAUGGAGGAAACUCUGACGCAGUGACGCCGUGUAUAGGAAGAAGGUUUUCGGAUUGUAAACUAUUGUCGUUAGGGAAGAUACAAGACAGUACCUAAGGAGGAAGCUCCGGCUAACUACGUGCCAGCAGCCGCGGUAAUACGUAGGGAGCAAGCGUUAUCCGGAUUUAUUGGGUGUAAAGGGUGCGUAGACGGGAAAGCAAGUUAGUUGUGAAAUCCCUCGGCUUAACUGAGGAACUGCAACUAAAACUACUUUUCUUGAGUGUUGGAGAGGAAAGUGGAAUUCCUAGUGUAGCGGUGA
rnacentral:rRNA from 1 species